GAUGAACGCUGGCGGCGUGCCUAAUACAUGCAAGUCGAGCGAACGGACGAGAAGCUUGCUUCUCUGAUGUUAGCGGCGGACGGGUGAGUAACACGUGGAUAACCUACCUAUAAGACUGGGAUAACUUCGGGAAACCGUAGCUAAUACCGGAUAAUAUUUUGAACCGCAUGGUUCAAAAGUGAAAGACGGUCUUGCUGUCACUUAUAGAUGGAUCCGCGCUGCAUUAGCUAGUUGGUAAGGUAACGGCUUACCAAGGCAACGAUGCAUAGCCGACCUGAGAGGGUGAUCGGCCACACUGGAACUGAGACACGGUCCAGACUCCUACGGGAGGCAGCAGUAGGGAAUCUUCCGCAAUGGGCGAAAGCCUGACGGAGCAACGCCGCGUGAGUGAUGAAGGUCUUCGGAUCGUAAAACUCUGUUAUUAGGGAAGAACAUAUGUGUAAGUAACUGUGCACAUCUUGACGGUACCUAAUCAGAAAGCCACGGCUAACUACGUGCCAGCAGCCGCGGUAAUACGUAGGUGGCAAGCGUUAUCCGGAAUUAUUGGGCGUAAAGCGCGCGUAGGCGGUUUUUUAAGUCUGAUGUGAAAGCCCACGGCUCAUCCGUGGAGGGUCAUUGGAAACUGGAAAACUUGAGUGCAGAAGAGGAAAGUGGAAUUCCAUGUGUAGCGGUGAAAUGCGCAGAGAUAUGGAGGAACACCAGUGGCGAAGGCGACUUUCUGGUCUGUAACUGACGCUGAUGUGCGAAAGCGUGGGGAUCAAACAGGAUUAGAUACCCUGGUAGUCCACGCCGUAAACGAUGAGUGCUAAGUGUUAGGGGGUUUCCGCCCCUUAGUGCUGCAGCUAACGCAUUAAGCACUCCGCCUGGGGAGUACGACCGCAAGGUUGAAACUCAAGGGAAUUGACGGGGACCCGCACAAGCGGUGGAGCAUGUGGUUUAAUUCGAAGCAACGCGAAGAACCUUACCAAAUCUUGACAUCCUUUGACAACUCUAGAGAUAGAGCCUUCCCCUUCGGGGGACAAAGUGACAGGUGGUGCAUGGUUGUCGUCAGCUCGUGUCGUGAGAUGUUGGGUUAAGUCCCGCAACGAGCGCAACCCUUAAGCUUAGUUGCCAUCAUUAAGUUGGGCACUCUAAGUUGACUGCCGGUGACAAACCGGAGGAAGGUGGGGAUGACGUCAAAUCAUCAUGCCCCUUAUGAUUUGGGCUACACACGUGCUACAAUGGACAAUACAAAGGGCAGCGAAACCGCGAGGUCAAGCAAAUCCCAUAAAGUUGUUCUCAGUUCGGAUUGUAGUCUGCAACUCGACUACAUGAAGCUGGAAUCGCUAGUAAUCGUAGAUCAGCAUGCUACGGUGAAUACGUUCCCGGGUCU
rnacentral:rRNA from 1 species